AACGAACGUUUGCGGCGCGCUUAACACAUGCAAGUCGAACGAGAAGGGGCUACGGUCCUGGUAAAGUGGCGCACGGGUGAGUAACACGUGGGUAACCUUCCCUUAGGUGGAGGAUAACUUUCCGAAAGGAGAGCUAAUACUGCAUAAGACCACACUGCGAGAGCAGAGGGGUUAAAGUCAGCCUAUGCAAGCAAGCUGACGCCGAAGGAUGGGUCCGCGUCCCAUCAGCUAGUAGGUAGGGUAAUGGCCUACCUAGGCAAAGACGGGUAGCUGGUCUGAGAGGAUGAUCAGCCACACUGGAACUGAGACACGGUCCAGACUCCUACGGGAGGCAGCAGUGGGGAAUCUUGCGCAAUGGACGAAAGUCUGACGCAGCGACGCCGCGUGGGUGAUGAAGG
rnacentral:rRNA from 1 species